rnacentral:rRNA from 1 species
UACGGAGGGUGCAAGCGUUAUCCGGAUUCACUGGGUUUAAAGGGUGCGUAGGUGGGCAAGUAAGUCAGUGGUGAAAUCUCCGGGCUUAACCCGGAAACUGCCAUUGAUACUAUUUGUCUUGAAUACUGUGGAGGUCAGCGGAAUAUGUCAUGUAGCGGUGAAAUGCUUAGAUAUGACAUAGAACACCAAUUGCGUAGGCAGCUUACUACACGAUCAUUGACGCUGAGGCACGAAAGCGUGGGGAGCAAACAGG